AGGGGUGUAGCUCAGUGAUAGAGCACUUGCCUAUCAUGCAGGAGGUUUUGGUUCCAUCUCUAACACUGCAA
rnacentral:tRNA from 1 species